rnacentral:rRNA from 1 species
GACGAACGCUGGCGGCGUGCUUAACACAUGCAAGUCGUACGGUAAGGCCCUUUCGGGGGUACACGAGUGGCGAACGGGUGAGUAACACGUGAGUAACCUGCCCACAACUUUGGGAUAACGCUAGGAAACUGGUGCUAAUACUGGAUAUGUGCUCCUGCUGCAUGGUGGGGGUUGGAAAGCUCCGGCGGUUGUGGAUGGACUCGCGGCCUAUCAGCUUGUUGGUGGGGUAGUGGCCUACCAAGGCGGCGACGGGUAGCCGGCCUGAGAGGGUGACCGGCCACAUUGGGACUGAGAUACGGCACAGACUCCGACGGGAGGCAGCAGGGGGGAAUAUUGCACAAGGGGCGCAAGCCUGAUGCAGCAACGCCGCGGGCGGGAUGACGGCCUUCGGGUUGUAAACCGCUUUCAGCAGGGACGAAGCUUUUUGUGACGGUACCUGCAGAAGAAGCACCGGCUAACUACGCG